rnacentral:rRNA from 1 species
CUCCUACGGGAGGCAGCAGUGGGGAAUAUUGGGCAAUGGGCGCAAGCCUGACCCAGCAACGCCGCGUGAAGGAAGAAGGCUUUCGGGUUGUAAACUUCUUUUAAGUGGGAAGAGUAGAAGACGGUACCACUUGAAUAAGCCACGGCUAACUACGUGCCACGAGCCGCGGUAAUACGUAGGUGGCAAGCGUUGUCCGGAUUUACUGGGUGUAAAGGGCGUGCAGCCGGGCAGUCAAGUCAGAUGUGAAAUCUCAGGGCUUAACCCUGAAACUGCAUUUGAAACUGUAUGUAUGUCUUGAGUGCCGGAGAGGUAAUCGGAAUUNCCUUGUGUAGCGGUGAAAUGCGUAGAUAUAAGGAAGAACACCAGUGGCGAAGGCGGAUUACUGGACGGUAACUGACGGUGAGGCGCGAAAGCGUGGNGAGNGAACAGGAUUAGAUACCCUGGUAGUCCACGCUGUAANCGAUGGAUACUAGGUGUGCGGGGNCNGACCCCNUCCGUGC